UACUUAUAUCAUGGCGAGGCUUCUAAUGCUUUUUCUGUUCUUGAUACCAAACGUUACGGGGAUCACCUUGCAUUUGCUGAUGGCGGCUUAAUAGAAGGGGUGGGGUGGGGAGAUAGGGUUUCCAAUCAUCUGAUGUGAUAGAGUCAUCCCAGUGGGACAGCAUCCAGUGAAGUCCUGGGGCGCCUCCCGUGAUUAAGGCAAGCAUUAGUGUUGUGGCUGACUCUGGCUGUCAAAGAACUGACCCCUGCAGGGAUUCCUGGCAGUGGAGCAUUAGUUGGGGCAGGGCUGGGAAAUCCAGAUGGUGAAUGACUUGGCAAAGGUCAUGCAAGUCACCAUUCGAGAGACCUUUGGAACAUCCUUUUGGGGGUAGGAGAUUGAAAUUAUUACCAGGAAACUGUACUAUUAACAAUGGAAAGCAAGUUCCUAUUCAGAGUUUUUUGGGAGAAAAAAAUGGACGUUGCCAUAAAUUUUAAUGAUGAUGAAACUAAAAUAGACGUGGGACCUGUCCUGUGCAGAAGCCAGUGGGGAGCAAAGCAAAGACCUUCAAAUGUGGGUCAGUCUAUAAACCCCCAAAGUAAUUACCAUUGGCAGUAGUGUAUACCACCAUUUUUGUGUCUUCACUGAACCUUUAUUGAGGACUUCCUCUUAAUUAAGUAAUGUGAUUUUUAUAUGUACUUCUAAUCCAUUUAAUGUUAUUGGCCACAAUACUGAC
rnacentral:lncRNA from 1 species